GGCAGGUGCAGGAGAGGAGAGAGAGAAGGGAAGCAGACUGGCGUAAGUUUCCCCGCCACUGCACCGCUUAACUCACCUUAACUUGGCUUAGUUUCCUGGACGCUGGUCACUUUGGCAAGAUUCUCUGCAUUGAUUCAAACUGCCUCUUAAAAACUAAACGUCUCAUCACUCUCACCAAACUGUCCUCCUGCCCGCCGUCACUCCUGAAAACACGAGAUUGGAACCUCACUUGAUCACAAACUUCUUGGACGCUCACCUGGCUACCCUCCCCAGAGCCCAAACCCGCAAAUCCAGUAUUCACCUAUCACCACUCAGCAUCUAAUCACGCUGUCCCUCUGUUUUAGUGCAUCCACAUCAGAGACUCCUGCUAUGUUCUCAUGUCUUGUUAUCUUGUAUCUCUGUGCACGCAAUAAAGUUUGUUAUCUUGUCGCUUUUCGCAUUUGGGCCCAUCUCACGUGCUGGUCCCUGGGCUCCCUUGACACUUGGGAGCUCAGUGAAUUCCAGCCCGGUACUGUGAAAGGAUGCCACCUGUACAACAAGUCUAGUUGUGAAAUUUCCUUGCUAUUGAAUAUUACACAGUUAACUGUAUGUGGUGUUAUAACCGAGUAGAAGUGACUGGGAAGCACGAUCUGGGAACAAAACCAACACAAGGAUAUCAGAUCAUCAGAUUGGGAAUGAUAGCAAUCAGCCACAAAGUGGUAGGCUAUGUAAAAUCACAAAACAGGAGUUGGGCUCUUCAAUAUCAUGCCCUCAAGAUUGCAGGGAAUAAUUUGGGGAUGGCCUCUUCCUGUUCAAAAAUGACUGCACACCAGUGCACAAAGCAAGGUCCAUAAAGACCUGGAUGAGCCAGUUUGGUAUGGAAGAACUUGACUGGCCUGCACAGAGUCCUGUCCUCAACACCUUUGGGAUGAAUCAGACUGGAGACUUUCUCAUCCAACAUCAGUGUCUGACCUCACAAAUGUACUUCUGGAAGAAUGGUCAAAAAAUCCCAUAAACACAUUCCUAAACCUUGUUGAAAGCUUUCCCAGAAGAGCUGAAGUUGUUUUACCUGAGAAGGGUGGGUCGACAUCACAUCAAACACAAUGGACUAAGAAUGGGAUAGCACUCAAAUUCAUGUGAAUUUUUUGAGUAUUCAUGUCAAGAAUACUUUUGGCAAUAUUGUUUAGCUGUGUGCUGGCUAGUGGUUUCUAGAUAACAUGUCAUGGUCCUGGGCCACGUUGGCCCAGUAUUCUGUGUUUUUGUACUUUUGUUCUUUCAUUAUGCCAUGAUUCCUAGGUUCUGUUAAGAUGUCCCUUAUUUUGGUUACCCUCUGUGUGCUCCUCUGUGUGCUCCUCUGUGUAUCUGUGAGCCCUCGUCUCCCCUCCUUGUGUUUUAUUCCAUGUUUUCCCCAGCCCGUUAUGUCUGUGCUCUCUCCUCCUGUCUGAACCUCUGUACUUCCUGUUUUACCUCGUCAGCAUCCGUCAUGUUGUGUUCACUCCUGCCCUGUCUCGUUAUGAUUAUCAGUGUCACCUGUGUUCCCCGUGUGCUCCCACUCCCCUCGUUAACUCUCUGUGUAUUUAGGUCUGCGUCUCCCUCAGUUCUGUGUCGCGUUCUCCCUCAUUCAUGGCCGUGUGUUUCUCUGUGCAUUAGUGUAUUAUUUCCCAGUGUAGUUCCUUAUCAGUUUGCUUCACCGUUUUUCUGUCCAGCAAUAAAGCUGUGUUUUGAGUUUA